rnacentral:tRNA from 1 species
UAUAUAUUGUUGUAGAAGCAUAAAAGUUUUUGAUACUUUAGGAGAUAAUUUAUUAUUGUAUAUAA